rnacentral:rRNA from 1 species
GACGAGGGGUCCUAGCGUUGUUCGGAAUCAUUGGGCGUAAAGCGCAUGUAGGCGGUCUAUCAAGUCAGGUGUGAAAUCCCUGGGCUCAACCCAGGACGUGCACUUGAUGCUGGUGGACUUGAAUAUAGGAGAGGAUAGUGGAAUUCCUGGUGUAGUGGUGAAAUACGUAGAUAUCAGGAGGAACACCGGUGGCGAAGGCGGCUAUCUGGCCUAAUAUUGACGCUGAGAUGCGAAAGUGCGGGGAUCAAACAGG